AGCGGUAAUACAGAGACCUCAAGCGUUAUCCGGAUUUAUUGGGCGUAAAGAGCAUGUAGGCGGAUAUAUUAGUCAGAUGUCAAAUCUUCGAGCUCAACUCGAAAACUGCAUUUGAAACGGUAUAUCUCGAGGAAGUGAGAGACCAUUAGAACGUAUGGUGUAGCAGUGAAAUGCGUUGAUAUCAUACGGAAUACCAAAGGCGAAGGCAUUCGAUUGGCACUUUUCUGACGCUGAGAUGCGAAAGCGUGGGUAGCGAAUGGGAUUAGAUACCCCAGUAGUCCACGCCCUAAACGAUGCAUACUUGGUAUUAGGAGAAUCGACCCUCCCAGUGUCGUAGCUAACGCGUUAAGUAUGCCGCCUGGGAAGUACGAGCGCAAGCUUAAAACUCAAAGGAAUAGACGGGGAUCCGCACAAGUGGUGGAGCAUGUGGUUUAAUUCGACAACAAGCGAGGAACCUCACCAGGGCUUGAAACCUAGCUGCAUUAUCUGGAAACAGAUAAGCCUUCGAGGGUGCUAGGCAGGCGUUGCACGGUCGUCGUCAGCUCGUGUCGUAAGAUGUUCUGUUAAGUCAGGAAACGAGCGCAACCCCUAUCGUAUGUUAUUAUGUCAUGCGAGACUGCCCAGAGCUUUGCUUAUAAUUUUUUAUAAGUAGUGCUCUGGGAGGAAGGCGGGGAUGACGUCAGAUCAGCGUGGCCCUUUGACGCCCUGGGCUACACACGUGCUACAAUGGCCAUUACAAAGGGUUGCUAAGUCGUAAGGCGGAGCUAAUCCCAUAAAGAUGGUCUCAGUUCGGAUUGAGGUCUGCAACUCGACCUCAUGAAGCCGGAAUCACUAGUAAUCGUGAAUCAGCCACGUCACGGUGAAUACGUUCUCGGAUCUUGUACUCACCGCCCGUCACACCAAGAGAGUUGGUAACACCGGAAGACCCUGAAUCAAAUCAGGGGCCAGGGUGGGAUCGAUGAUAAGGGUGAAGUCGUAACAAGGCAUCGGUAGCGGAAGCUGUCGAUG
rnacentral:rRNA from 1 species